rnacentral:rRNA from 1 species
AACGAACGCUGGCGGCAUGCCUAACACAUGCAAGUCGAACGAAGCCUUCGGGCUUAGUGGCGCACGGGUGCGUAACGCGUGGGAAUCUGCCCUUGGGUUCGGAAUAACAGUUAGAAAUGACUGCUAAUACCGGAUGAUGUCUUCGGACCAAAGAUUUAUCGCCCAAGGAUGAGCCCGCGUAGGAUUAGGUAGUUGGUGGGGUAAUGGCCCACCAAGCCGACGAUCCUUAGCUGGUCCGAGAGGAUGAUCAGCCACACUGGGACUGAGACACGGCCCAGACUCCUACGGGAGGCAGCAGUGGGGAAUAUUGGACAAUGGGCGAGAGCCUGAUCCAGCAAUGCCGCGUGAGUGAUGAAGGCCUUAGGGUUGUAAAGCUCUUUACCAGGGAUGAUAAUGACAGUACCUGGAGAAUAAGCUCCGGCUAACUCCGUGCCAGCAGCCGCCGUAACAC